rnacentral:rRNA from 1 species
CCUACGGGAGGCAGCAGUGAGGAAUAUUGGUCAAUGGACGCAAGUCUGAACCAGCCAUGCCGCGUGCAGGAAGACGGCUCUAUGAGUUGUAAACUGCUUUUGUACGAGGGUAAACGCAGAUACGUGUAUCUGUCUGAAAGUAUCGUACGAAUAAGGAUCGGCUAACUCCGUGCCAGCAGCCGCGGUAAUACGGAGGAUUCAAGCGUUAUCCGGAUUUAUUGGGGUUAAAGGGUGCGUAGGCGGUCGGAUAAGUUAGCGGUGAAAUCCCGAGGCUCAACUUCGGACUUGCCUCUGAUACUGUUCGGCUAGAGAGUAGUUGCGGUAGGCGGAAUGUAUGGUGUAGCGGUGAAAUGCUUAGAGAUCAUACAGAACACCGAUUGCGAAGGCAGCUUACC